rnacentral:tmRNA from 1 species
GGGGAUGUAAAGGCUUCGACGGGGACUUUGAAGCACGAUAAGCGAGCAGAGGAUUGUGCUGAUCUCUUUAACCCGCACACGUUUUAAAAUUAGACGACAACGAUAAUUUUGAAUUAGCAGCUGCUUAAUUGCUGCUCGUCUGCCCGAGAAGUACCGUGGUCUCGGAACAGGCGCCGAUCAACGGUGAACGUCUUGCAGGCUUGUCCGGACCUGCCUGAUGUAUUACGGACUACCGAACGCCUGAACGUGUCUGUUCGUGCCUGCGUAAGGGAAUGUAAAUAACAGACUAUGCUCGUAGAAAGUUGUGUGGAUUGGUUUUCGGACACGGGUUCGAUUCCCGUCAUCUCCACCA